rnacentral:rRNA from 1 species
GACGAACGCUGGCGGCGUGCUUAACACAUGCAAGUCGAACGAAGAGCGAUGGAAGCUUGCUUCUAUCACUCUUAGUGGCGAACGGGUGAGUAACGCGUAAUCAACCUGCCCUUCAGAGGGGGACAACAGUUGGAAACGACUGCUAAUACCGCAUACGAUCUAACCUCGGCAUCGAGGAUAGAUGAAAGGUGGCCUCUACAUGUAAGCUAUCACUGAAGGAGGGGAUUGCGUCUGAUUAGCUAGUUGGAGGGGUAACGGCCCACCAAGGCGAUGAUCAGUAGCCGGUCUGAGAGGAUGAACGGCCACAUUGGGACUGAGACACGGCCCAGACUCCUACGGGAGGCAGCAGUGGGGAAUCUUCCGCAAUGGACGAAAGUCUGACGGAGCAACGCCGCGUGAGUGAUGACGGCCUUCGGGUUGUAAAGCUCUGUUAAUCGGGACGAAAGGCCUUCUUGCGAAUAGUGAGAAGGAUUGACGGUACCGGAAUAGAAAGCCACGGCUAACUACGUG